CGCGACUAACAGCUUUUACAGGUUUGGUUUGAAUUUCAAAUCUCUUUUACUUUAUCUCUAACGGCUAUAUUUGCUUUUUGAGCUAUAAAAGGGAGCUCUUAAGUGCUUCUCAAUAACUUUUUACCAACCCAAAGCAAAAUCAUUCAAGAGAGAAGAAAGAAAAAGAAGUUCAAGGGAGUUAGUGCAUUCAAGUGAAGAAAUCAAGUACUUUCAAGCUUCCCAAGUGAUUUCAAGCUCAACUACUCUCUUCCGCCCGGGAUUCAAAGCUCACACUCAAAC
rnacentral:lncRNA from 1 species